UUUGAAGUAAAGGCCUGUUUUAUACGUUUCCUAAGUAGUAAUCCCCAUAAAACCAACAGUUUGGUGUACUCAGCAGGUUUUUUCUAGCACAAAAGAAAACACGCUUAUCCCUAAAGUCUCAGAGAUCAUCUCUUGCGUUCUGGUGGCACAUGCGCCUCAUCCCAGGCAACACUGAUUUGAUUAUGCUAAGGCAGGUUGCCAGAGAGACUGACUCUCCCUCAUUAACUUGGUCCUCUCUCUCCCCAGCAGUGCCUUUCCUGAGUUACACUUUAACCACCCCAGGCCGUUUAUUCUCCGUGAACCCAGGCUGCCUUUCAUGGGAAUCUGAAACUGAGAGAAUGUGGAAUGGCCUCCUUUCCAAGAGCUGCUUGGUUCUCACCCGUCUUGAGUCCUGCUUGUUCAGGGCCUCUUGGAUGUCAGUAUAUCCCCAGUUUGCUUAAGUUCCCUCAAGUUCAUCCUGAAGAACCUUAGCAGUUCAAACUCUCUCUCUUUCUCUUCUCCUCUGCCAUGAUGACUUUGGAGACCACAAAUUGCAAAUGAUGUUAGCUACAAGAUGGAGAAGAGCUGCUGACCUGCUGAGGACUACGGCUUGAAUGAGUGUGGCAGCUAGUCUUCAAAGACAGC
rnacentral:lncRNA from 1 species